UACGUAGGGGGCUAGCGUUGUCCGGAUUUAUUGGGCGUAAAGAGCUCGUAGGCGGUUUGGUAAGUCGGAUGUGAAAUCUCCAGGCUCAACCUGGAGGGGUCAUUCGAUACUGCCAUGGCUCGAGUCCGGUAGGGGAGUGCGGAAUUCCUGGUGGAGCGGUGAAAUGCGCAGAUAUCAGGAGGAACACCCAUAGCGAAGGCAGCACUCUGGGCCGGUACUGACGCUGAGGAGCGAAAGCGUGGGGAGCAAACAGG
rnacentral:rRNA from 1 species